UGGCGGACGGGUGAGUAAUGUCUGGGAAACUGCCUGAUGGAGGGGGAUAACUACUGGAAACGGUAGCUAAUACCGCAUAACGUCGCAAGACCAAAGAGGGGGACCUUAGGGCCUCUUGCCAUCGGAUGUGCCCGGAUGGGAUUAGCUAGUAGGUGGGGUAACGGCUCACCUAGGCGACGAUCCCUAGCUGGUCUGAGAGGAUGACCAGCCACACUGGAACUGAGACACGGUCCAG
rnacentral:rRNA from 1 species